CAGAGGUCCCAAGCGUUACUGAGAAUCACUGGGUUUAAAAGGGUGCGUAGGUGGUCCGUUAAGUCAGUUGUGAAAUCCCCGGGCUCAACCCGGGAAAUGCUUCUGAUACUGGCGGACUUGAGGCCAGUAGGGGUCACUAGAACUGACGGUGGAGCGGUGAAAUGCGUAGAUAUCGUCAGGAAUGCCGGUGGUGAAGACGGGUGACUGGGCUGGUUCUGACACUGAGGCACGAAAGCGUGGGGAGCGAACGGGAUUAGAUACCCCGGUAGUCCACGCCCUAAACGAUGCAGACUAGAUUGCAGCGGGUUACACCCCGUUGCGGUCGGAGCGAAAUUGUUAAGUCUGCCACCUGGGAAGUACGGUCGCAAGGCUA
rnacentral:rRNA from 1 species